rnacentral:misc_RNA from 1 species
AGUGGUCGGACCGGCAAC